rnacentral:lncRNA from 1 species
AUGGCUUCUAUGUUGCUGACUGUCACUAUGAAGCGUGACAACAGGAGGUCUUCAGUAUUGAGCAAACAUAACAUCCAAAUAAAAACUGAUCAGGAAAGAUGGAAAAGUAAAGUGAACAAUCCAAAAUGUGCUGACCUUGGGAGCGAGAAGGAAAAUCCAAAUGUGCCUGUUCACUGGUACAAGGUUAGGAACAAGCACUGACAAUAUCAGCGAGGAGACUGUCAGAAAAAUACCGUCUGUGAGAAAGAAAAGUUUGCAGUUUACACAGUAUGUCUGACAUGCCUGCAAAAGUGGAGACCCUUGCCCUUACCUUCUCUUUAAAAGUUGUUAUAUUUCCUCUGAAUGUUUUUAAGGAAAGAAUGAACAGUUGUGUAAGGUAUGUCCUAAAUGCAAAUUUCUUUUUUGUGGUAUUUUAAUUUUUUAACUUUUUUUUUGUUGGUUUGUUUCAUAAUCCAGAACAUUGUCUUUUGUUUUGCUAGAAUAAAUUUUAUUGCUUUUAUUUUUAAUCUCA